AGUCGAACGGCAGCAUGGGUGCUUGCACCUGAUGGCGAGUGGCGAACGGGUGAGUAAUGUAUCGGAACAUAUCCGCAAGUGGGGGAUAACGUAGCGAAAGUUACGCUAAUACCGCAUAUACCCUGAGGGGGAAAGGAGGGGAUCCGCAAGGACCUUUCGCUUACGGAGUGGCCGAUAUCAGAUUAGCUAGUUGGUGGGGUAAAGGCCUACCAAGGCGACGAUCUGUAGCGGGUCUGAGAGGAUGAUCCGCCACACUGGGACUGAGACACGGCCCAGACUCCUACGGGAGGCAGCAGUGGGGAAUUUUGGACAAUGGGCGCAAGCCUGAUCCAGCCAUGCCGCGUGAGUGAAGAAGGCCUUCGGGUUGUAAAGCUCUUUCAGAUGAGAAGAAACGGACUUAGUUAAUACCUGAGUUUAAUGACGGUAUCAUCAGAAGAAGCACCGGCUAACUACGUGCCAGCAGCCGCGGUAAUACGUAGGGUGCGAGCGUUAAUCGGAAUUACUGGGCGUAAAGCGUGCGCAGGCGGUUUUGUAAGUCAGAUGUGAAAUCCCCGAGCUCAACUUGGGAACUGCGUUUGAAACUACAAGACUAGAAUAUGUCAGAGGGGGGUAGAAUUCCACGUGUAGCAGUGAAAUGCGUAGAGAUGUGGAGGAAUACCAAUGGCGAAGGCAGCCCCCUGGGAUAAUAUUGACGCUCAUGCACGAAAGCGUGGGGAGCAAACAGGAUUAGAUAC
rnacentral:rRNA from 1 species